AAGUCUAUACUUUCAGGGAUCAUUUCUAUGGGGUCUAACUAGGAUAUGUGAUUUGAAAGUGUUAUGUCUCUCUGAUCACGAUGACGAGGUCUGAUGUGUUUUUCCAAGUACAAUUCAGAUUGCAGCAGGUGAUUCUUUCAUGAGCUUUAAUCAUUGAUGAAUGUUCUUCACUUUUUAGAAAGUGUGAGAGGAAGAGUACAUGAUCAGAGUGAU